UACGAAGGGGGCUAGCGUUGCUCGGAAUCACUGGGCGUAAAGCGCACGUAGGCGGCUUUUCAAGUCAGGGGUGAAAUCCUGGAGCUCAACUCCAGAACUGCCUUUGAUACUGAAGAGCUCGAGUCCGGGAGAGGUGAGUGGAACUGCGAGUGUAGAGGUGAAAUUCGUAGAUAUUCGCAAGAACACCAGUGGCGAAGGCGGCUCACUGGCCCGGUACUGACGCUGAGGUGCGAAAGCGUGGGGAGCAAACAGG
rnacentral:rRNA from 1 species